rnacentral:lncRNA from 1 species
GAGAGCCUUUGGCUGCUUCUGAGACCGGCUGUGGGCUGCCACCGCUGAGCGGCGCGGAGGCUGCAGCGUUCCCUCUCAGGACAGAAAGCAGGCGUUGGGGACUGUUACUCGCAGCCUGCCAGGGGCAGCAGCCGCCCCAGGUUCAAGUGGCUAUGUGCCAGGAUACUCAGGCGCGGCUGUUGGCUGCCCAUGGGAGAGCCAGUGCUCUCCGCAGGUCCAAAGUGCAAGGCCGGGCUAUUCCCGGACUUGCCUAGGAGCAGGGGCCCCCAGCGCGUCUGGGAUUGCCCCGGCGCGUCGGGCGCGCGAACUUGUGCGCAAGGGAGAAGAGCGCUUACCAUGGAACAUGGUCUGCGGGAGGCGGGCGUAGUCAUGAUGACCGCAACUGGAGCAGGAGCAAGCUCUCACCGCCCAUAGUCACUCCCAGGACCCUGGUCUUCCGCGGAGUUGCCGAGUCUGUGUUGGGCAGGGUGAUCUCUGCAGCUGGUUCCUCUUACCCACGCCGCGACUGCAGUUUCAUCCAUCCCAAGGGGGGCGGCACACACUACGGCGUGGCUCUGCGCUUUGCCUUUUCCAUAACUUCCGUAGGAUCCGCCAGCAGUGUACUUUCAGUUUCUACUUUGCGCUUGGUCUGCAGGUUCAAUCUUUGGGAUCAUCAGCAUGGAAUCUUCAUUAUCCCCUCUCUCCUGGGCACCUGCUUCCCGCGCACCUGGAUGAGGACCAGAGGAAUUCGCGAAUUUCCGAAUCACCGCAGGAAAAACCAGCUGGCCUGAAUCAAAGCAAUUCUGGGUAAAAGACUUCCCAGAUGAUCUCUCAACGCCUUGGCAACGCUUGGCGACUGGGAGCUAGAACCAUGAGUUGUUAAUGUGUGCACGGAAGCCACAAGUGUGCAGGACGCAAGCUGGGUUAUUGGAAGCGGACGACACCAAGGAGGCGUUGCCGCGGAUGUGGUGGACGAUGCCAAGUCGUCUUUUAAAAAAGGAAGUGAAGAAUGAUUAAGAGGGUCACGCCCUCUACCACUCCAACCUCUCUAAUCAGUCUCUUUCUGCUCCGUCUGCUGUACAUGCACCUGCUCAGGUGAGACCUCAAGGAAAAAUAAUCCUGUGGGUCCACCUAAUCUGACAACUACUUCUUAGCCUCCCCAAAUUUCCUCCCAAGUAUUUCUGGGAGUCCCCAAUUUGUGCCUCCCUUGUAUUCAUGGUCAAAAUCAGAAAUGAUGGGAUAUUUUCAUCAGAAGUAUAUUCACAUGAGGAGCAAAAGAUCCUUGGGAGAGAAGCUAUCCCAACCAAGCCUGCGCAGACAACCACAGUUGCUAACAGUAUGAGUUCUGCAGUUAUACAGAACUAAGUCCAUUAGCUGUGUGACCCAUGGCCAAAUAUUUUCCUUCUCUGUGCCUGCAUUUCUUCAUCUGCAAACUGGAAUAAUGAUAGCAACUACUUCAGAGGACUAUGCUAGAGUGCAAUGGCGCAAUCUUGGCUCACUGCAACCUCC